UAGAGAAGUCUAAUAGCUCGAUGAAGUACUUUCCGUGGUAUACAUUAUACAUUGUUACACUAUAAGACAGUGACAAAUCUGAGAGGGCCGUUUCCUUUUGUUUCUUUGUACGGAGUUUUUAGUAAACAUGAGAAGAGAGCUCUUGAAACAUGAGAAGAGAGCUCUUGAAUUGCUAUGUUCCUCGUGUUUCUGAGUCAAACCUCUCCUGGUCUUUUGUAUUAUUUCCUGAAAUAUUACCCAUUUGAU
rnacentral:lncRNA from 1 species